rnacentral:rRNA from 1 species
AUGGAGACACUGCGGCCAGCUGGCAUGCUUCAGCCCUUGGAGGUUCCAUCUCAGGUUUGGGCAGACAUCUCCAUGGAUUUCAUCGAGGGCCUUCCCAAGGUGGGCGGCAAAUCCGUCAUUCUCACAGUGGUUGACUGCUUUUGUUUCCCUCUUGGCCACCCAUAUUCAGCGACAUCUGUUGCACGGGCCUUCUUCGAUGGCAUUGUCCGUCUCCACGGGUUUCCUUCUUCGAUCGUCAGUGAUCGGGAUCCUGUCUUCACGGGCCAUGUGUGGCGCGACCUUUUCCGGCUGGCGGGCGUGAAGCUCCGCCUGAGCACUGCCUUCCACCCUCAGACGGACGACCAAUCUGAAAUCGUUAACAAGGUGAUUGCCAUGUAUUUGCGUUGUGUUAUAGGUGAUCGCCCUCGUGCAUGGGUGGACUGGCUCUCGUGGGCGGAGUACUGCUACAACACCUCUUUUCACUCCGCCUUUCGUGAUACGCCCUUUGAGGUGGUUUAUGGUCGGCCACCCCCGCCGAUCCUGCCGGUGGAUGCGGCCUCGGCACGGACCGAGGCGGCCGGGGCUCUUCUGAGGAACCGUGAUGAGAUGCUCGUGGAGGUCCAGCAACGACUUCUCCAGGCCCAGCAGUUGGCCAAACGAUACUAUGAUGGCCACCAUCGCGAGGCGAAACUCGCGGUGGGAGAUUGGGUCUGGCUGCGUCUACUUCACCGCUCUACGCAGUCAUUGGAACCCAGCGCACGGAAGAAGCUCGGUCCUCAUUAUGCCGGUCCCUUUGCUAUCCUGGAACGCAUUGGGAAAGUGGCGUACCGUCUUCAGCUUCCGGCCGGCGCGCGCAUUCAUGAUGUCUUCCACGUCGGGCUGCUCAAGCCAUUCCGCGGUGAUCCACCCGCGGCACCGCCGGCCCUACCGCCGGCCUCGGACGGACGUCUCCUUCCUGCACCGGAGAAGGCGCUCAAGGCCCAGCUGCGCCGAGGCGCCUGGUACGUGUUGAUUCGGUGGGCUGGACUACCGGAGGAGGACGCUACUUGGGAGCAGCGCGAGGAAUUCCACCAGCACUACCCCGACUUUCAGCUCGAGGACGAGCUGUUUGCGCAGGCGGGGAGAGAUGUUAUGACCGGCCAGGUCUAUGGCCGCCGUGGGCCCACUGGGCAGGCUUAA